rnacentral:rRNA from 1 species
ACGGGUGAGUAACACGUGGGUGAUCUGCCCUGCACUUCGGGAUAAGCCUGGGAAACUGGGUCUAAUACCGGAUAUGACCUCCUAUCGCAUGGUGGGUGGUGGAAAGAUUUAUCGGUGCAGGAUGGGCCCGCGGCCUAUCAGCUUGUUGGUGGGGUAAUGGCCUACCAAGGCGACGACGGGUAGCCGACCUGAGAGGGUGACCGGCCACACUGGGACUGAGACACGGCCCAGACUCCUACGGGAGGCAGCAGUGGGGAAUAUUGCACAAUGGGCGAAAGCCUGAUGUAGCGACGCCGCGUGAGGGAUGACGGCCUUCGGGUUGUAAACCUCUUUCAGCAGGGACGAAGCGCAAGUGACGGUACCUGCAGAAGAAGCACCGGCUAACUACGUGCCAGCAGCCGCGGUAAUACGUAGGGUGCAAGCGUUGUCCGGAAUUACUGGGCGUAAAGAGUUCGUAGGCGGUUUGUCGCGUCGUUUGUGAAAACCAGCAGCUCAACUGCUGGCUUGCAGGCGAUACGGGCAGACUUGAGUACUGCAGGGGAGACUGGAAUUCCUGGUGUAGCGGUGAAAUGCGCAGA